rnacentral:rRNA from 1 species
UACGAAGGUGGCAAGCGUUACUCGGAUUUACUAGGCGUAAAGGGCAGGUAGGUGGUUUGAUAAGUCUGCUGUGUAAGCUCCCGGCUUAACUGGGAGAGGUCAGCGGAAACUGUCAGGCUUGAGUAUGGGAGAGGGUACUGGAAUUCCUGGUGUAGCGGUGAAAUGCGCAGAUAUCAGGAGGAACACCAAUGGCGAAAGCAGGUACCUGGACCAUUACUGACACUCAACUGCGAAAGCUAGGGGAGCAAACAGG